rnacentral:lncRNA from 1 species
CUGUUAGGCAGAUAGAGUAAUCUGGGCAUUUUAAAAGGCAAAAUAACCUGCUGAAUGACCAUAGGUAUUUUUUUUCAGUUUCAGGUGGUACAGUACCAAGUGUUCUCGGUGUCACAAUAACCUUCAGAAAGGUCAUGCCACCCAAUCGACUGUAAUCACUGCACUGCUUAAGCAGCCUCAAGUGCUACCUGAUUUGAUGAUGACAAAAUGAAUCGUUCUACCAUAUGAGGUUUGAAAUGCAGAGGAAGCAUUCCAAGGAUAUGAGCGCAAGAGGCAAUGGAUACUUGCAGAUCAAAUAGAGGUUAUUGUUGGCCUACCCUACAACACAUGGACUAGGAACAAAGGCCAAGUGACAAAGCCAAGCAUCAGGAGCUCACUUGAAAUGAGAGUGGGAGGGACGACAAACAACCCACAAACCAACAAGAAUGACAACAACAAACUAUCUGAAGGAAGAAAUGCAAUAAAAAUUGGGUAAAAU